GAGCCUGUAGUGAGCCUUAGGGGAGGAGGAUGAGGCGGCGGCCGUCCAGGCGUCGGGGGCAGCGUUGGUGCUCCGCCGUCUCCGCCUGAAGUGGACAUCGGUGGGGAAGGGCUCGCCAAACUCAUUCACCCGGGAUGAGGAAAGAUGCUAUGAAAUUUCAAGCCAAAAGAAAAUAGCUGUGGAAGUGCAAGUCAAGCUUCCCACCACUUGCACUUCCUUUGGAACAAAGAACAGAAGCACCAGUACUUUCUGCAGAAAGGGAAAGCUUUAAAGUAGUCAGUUCAGAAUUCACUUCCAGAAAACACAGCGCCUCCUAGAUAUUCUAAACUAACUGCUGAAGCUCUACAAACCUGUUAGCAGGUUUUAUAGGAUGAAAACGGAAGAAAAUGUAAGGCUGAUCAUCACCUGGAAAGCUGUGCAUAGCUGCUACAGGCUCACCAGGAGGAAAAGGUCACACCUCAGCUGAAUGCUGUGCAGGAAUCUUCACGCUGGUGGAGAUUCACAUUAGCACAUCUCUAAUGCACCCUGCAACGGCACAAACCUCCCACUGUGCCUCUGUUAUGCCUCUGUGUAUGAACUGUGUUUAAUUUAAGGUAACUGACUCUUGCUGCCUUCUCUGGCUCAACAAAGCCAGAGUGCUUCCAACCUUGAGUUGCCAGCGUACAGCCAGCUCCAACAAUGGCCUUGGGUCUCUUGCAUCCAGUUUUAGGACUGGUGUGAGCACCAGUCAUCUUUAAAGGAGCAGCUCUUCAGAAUAGUUGAACAAGGCUGCAUCUCCAUGCACUCACCUGUUCUGAGUGAGCCUGCACCACAUGUGCUGUUAGUGCUGCAAAGAACUAGAUGAUCUUUAGGGUCCCUUCCAACCUAAGCCAUUCUAUGAUCUUCCUGUCCUAGUGGUUAGUUGCUUGCUCUUGCACACACACACUGAGAAAGAACUCCUCAGAAUAGGAAAGACACCAAACUAUUCUGAACUAACUGCAGUCUGCAAAGCCUGCUGGGCCUGCUGUGCAGCCUUCUCUGGCCAGUCAUGAAGGAGCAUGACAAUUCCCACCCUUCCCAUGUUCUGUUAUGUCCUGAUGGAGUCUGAAAAGCCACCAUGGUCCUGGGGCUUCUGGAUGAAGAAGAAAAAAAAUGGGUAUCCUGAAACAUCACUGCACCCUGGUGAGGCUGCCCUUUGGCCUUGUUUUCUCAGCCUUCUCUGUCUCACUCUCAAUGAAGUAGCAGCUCCUGUGCUGUGAUGCCAGUCUGUGGGGCUACUGGGAUUACUGAACCCCUGUCAGUCUUCCAGAACCUUCUCACAAUGUCCACAUGCGCCCCAGCACUUUCAGACUUUGGAAGAGAGGAAUAUGCUGUGGCUGAGCGUGGGCCGUGGCCUGGUUGAGACUGGGGAGCAUAGGCCACGUCCUGCACUUAGGUGGGGCAUGCAUGGGAGUACCAGGCCUUGAGCAAUGCCAGGGGGAGUGAGCAGAGUUGCCUGAGGAAACAGAGAGGAAAGCUGAGUCAGAGGGGAGGGAGAAGGGUUAUGUGGAGCUCGUUCUGUGUUAUGGGUGAGGGAUGCGGCCCUACUCAUCUCCUUGCCCUCCUGUCACAGGGCUAUUGGGAAACAGCUCUGCUGUUUUAUCUGUGUGCCCCCAGGGCAGCUGCCAUGCCGGGAUGGGAUUUCACAAGCACCCUACUUCUCACUGGGCUGAGCUUUGCCACCCCCUCACACCAGGGCUGGUGGUGGCAAGAGCUGAGAUAAGAAAAUUGUAGAAUUAUUAAAGCUGGAAAAGACCACUAGGAUAAUCUAGUCCAACCUUCAACCCAUUACCACCACUCCCACUAAACUAUGUCCCUAAAAAAUCUGUCAAAGCUUUACUUUCUUGCUCAUUUUUCUACCAGACAAGCAGUUAAUUCAUCUCUAGGGUCGGGGUCAAGGAGUUCAGGAGCUGGCACAGGGGAUAUGUAGCAGCUCAUACCUAUGACAUGGGUGGGUUGGACAGGAUGGUCUGAGGUGUUGUAUGAAGAAGCAUCCUCACGGAUUCUGUCUCUGAUCUGAAACCUUGGCACAUAUAAUCCAGGAGAGAAGGAAAGAUCAAAACCUUCCUUCUUCAGAAGUGAGGAGCUGACCCAUGGAACAGUUAAGUAGGUCUCAAUUAAAGGGUCAGAGCUGGGAGGAUCCUGAAGUGCUCCUGGGACCAGAUCCAGGCUUUCUGAUGGCCCUAGGAGCAUGGCAUUGCCUACAACAAUGCUGUUUCCAUUGAUAUACAGAAAAGUGGCACACUGCAGCAUCUUCAAUUUCUGCAGCUGGAGAUUAGGAAGUGCAGAAAGAAAGCUGUAGCGUAAGUAAGUUACGUGGGGAUUAGAGAAACUAAGCUACAAACUUAAAUUCAAAUAACCUUCCUAUUGGGAAGGAUCUGUCAAUAGUUACAGUAUGAUAACUGUGCAGGCUUCAAGUCCUCACCCAGACAGAAGUAGCCCCUAAGAACCCAUACCUACCGUGGAAAAAUCCCCUUGAAACACUGGGAAUUUUGCCUACAUAAAUACUGCAAAAGUUGAGCGGCAAAUGCCUCUUCUGUGAACAACAAAAUGAGAACUCAGUCACAACAACAAAAUUUUAGUAGGGAAUUCAGGCAGUACAAGUGGCUGCAAGAAUACAGGAGGCCACAUUUCCUGCAGUUUUCGCACUCCUUUUCGCCCUACUUACCUUUUCCUUUUCCUCCUAGGUGAGUGCAAUCCCCAGUCACUAAUUCUUUGCUGCUCUGCCUCUCUGGGUAGGUGUCAUCUACCUUUAUCUGCUGCAUCCAUUCUCUUGCCCAAUGAUUAUCCCAGGAGGCAGACGUUUCCCUUUGAUGGUUGUUCUUCAAUGCCACCAGAUAACCAAAGAGAGCAAACAUAUUUUCUCUUGGUGUCUAAUCUGUGCGCUCAGAAAGUGAAAGAUUUCAUUCCCUUCAAACAGCUGACCUCAGCCUGGCUUGCUUGUCUGCCUAUUCUGGCAACAAAGAUACCACCCUGUGCUUUAUUCCUUUCAGUUUUGGAAGAUGUUCUGCUCACAUAAAGGAUUUUCUUUAAAGGCUAUUUAUGUUAAGACUGUUUUUUAUUUUUUAUUUUUUUAAUAAAAGCUCUUUUAAUCUUU